UGUAUGUUUUGUGGUGGUGUGUGGUGGGGUGUGGAGGUGGUGUAGUGGUGUGUGGAGGUGUGUGGUGGGGUGUGGAGGUGGUGUAGUGGUGUGUGGAGGUGUGUGGUGGGGUGUGGAGGUGGUGUAGUGGUGUGUGGAGGUGGUGUAGUGGUGUGUGGAGGCGUGUGGAGGUGGUGUAGUGGUGUGUGGAGGCGUGUGGAGGUGUUGUAGUGGGGUGUGGAGGUGGUGUAGUGGUGUGUGGAGGUGGUGUAGUGGUGUGUAGAGGUGUGUAGUGGUGUGUGGAGGUGGUGUAGUGGUGUGUGGAGGCGUGUGGAGGUGGUGUAGUGGUGUGUGGAGGUGGUGUAGUGGUGUGUGGAGGUGGUGUAGUGGUGUGUGGAGGUGUGUAGUGGGGUGUGGAGGUGGUGUAGUGGUGUGUGGAGGCGUGUGCAGGUGGUGUAGUGGUGUGUGGAGGCGUGUGGAGGUGGUGUAGUGGUGUGUGGUGGUGGUGUAGUGUGGAGGUGGUGUAGUGUGGAG
ensembl:lncRNA